UUAAUACCACCAGAUUUGAGACGGUACCUGCAGAAGAAGCUCCGGCUAACUCCGUGCCAGCAGCCGCGGUAAUACGGGGGGAGCAAGCGUUGUUCGGAUUUACUGGGCGUAAAGGGCGUCUAGGCGGAGCAGUCAGUCAGGUGUGAAAUCCCACGGCUCAACCGUGGAAUUGCACUUGAUACUGCUGUUCUUGAGUUCGGGAGAGGGAAGCGGAAUUCCUGGUGUAGCGGUGGAAUGCGUAGAUAUCAGGAAGAACACCGGUGGCGAAGGCGGCUUCCUGGCCCGUAACUGACGCUAAAGCGCGAAAGUGUGGGGAGCAAACAGGAUUAGAUACCCUGGUAGUCCACACCGUAAACGAUGGACACUAG
rnacentral:rRNA from 1 species